rnacentral:rRNA from 1 species
UGGGGAAUCUUGGACAAUGGGGGCAACCCUGAUCCAGCGACGCCGCGUGGGUGGUAAGGCCUUCGGGUUGUAAAGCCCUUUCACCGGGGAAGAUGAUGACAUUACCCGGAGAAGCAGCGCCGGCUAACUCCGUGCCAGCAGCCGUGGUAAGACGGAGGGCGCUAGCGUUGUUCGGAAUCACUGGGCGUAAAGGGCGCGUAGGCGGCUGUUUACGUCGAGGGUGAAAGCCCGGGGCUCAACCCCGGAACGGCCUUCGAGACUGGGCAGCUCGAGACCGGAAGAGGAGAGUGGAAUACCCAGGGUAGAGGUGAUAUUCGUAGAUAUUGGGUGGAACACCAGUGGCGAAAGCGGCUCUCUGGUCCGGAUCUGACGCUGAGGCGCGAAAGCGUGGGGAGCAAACAGGGUUAGAUACCCGUGUAGUCC